rnacentral:rRNA from 1 species
UACGUAGGGGGCUAGCGUUGUCCGGAAUCAUUGGGCGGAAAGCGCGUGUAGGCGGUCCGGUAAGUCCGCUGUGAAAGUCGGGGGCUCAACCCUCGGAUGCCGGUGGAUACUGUCGGGCUUGAGUACGGAAGAGGCGAGUGGAAUUCCUGGUGUAGCGGUGAAAUGCGCAGAUAUCAGGAGGAACACCGGUGGCGAAGGCGGUUCUCUGGGCAUUACCUGACGCUGAGGCGCGAAAGCCAGGGGAGCAAACGGG